rnacentral:rRNA from 1 species
GACGAACGCUGGCGGCGUGCUUAACACAUGCAAGUCGUGCGGAAAGGCCCCUUUGGGGUGCUCGAGCGGCGAACGGGUGAGUAACACGUGAGUGAUCUGCCCUGCACUUUGGGAUAACUGCCGGAAACGGUGGCUAAUACUGGAUAGGACUGCAUCCUGCAUGGGUGUGGUGGAAAAGCCUUUGGGUGGUGUGGGAUGUGCUCGCGGCCUAUCAGCUUGAUGGUGGGGUAGUGGCCUACCAUGGCUUUGACGGGUAGCCGGCCUGAGAGGGUGACCGGUCACACUGGGACUGAGACACGGCCCAGACUCCUGCGGGAGGCAGCAGUGGGGAAUAUUGGACAAUGGGCGGAAGCCUGAUCCAGCAACGCCGCGUGAGGGAUGACGGCCUCGG